AAUACAUGCAAGUCGAGCGGACAGAAGGGAGCUUGCUCCCGGAUGUUAGCGGCGGACGGGUGAGUAACACGUGGGUAACCUGCCUGUAAGACUGGGAUAACUCCGGGAAACCGGAGCUAAUACCGGAUAGUUCCUUGAACCGCAUGGUUCAAGGAUGAAAGACGGUUUCGGCUGUCACUUACAGAUGGACCCGCGGCGCAUUAGCUAGUUGGUGGGGUAAUGGCUCACCAAGGCGACGAUGCGUAGCCGACCUGAGAGGGUGAUCGGCCACACUGGGACUGAGACACGGCCCAGACUCCUACGGGAGGCAGCAGUAGGGAAUCUUCCGCAAUGGACGAAAGUCUGACGGAGCAACGCCGCGUGAGUGAUGAAGGUUUUCGGAUCGUAAAGCUCUGUUGUUAGGGAAGAACAAGUGCGAGAGUAACUGCUCGCACCUUGACGGUACCUAACCAGAAAGCCACGGCUAACUACGUGCCAGCAGCCGCGGUAAUACGUAGGUGGCAAGCGUUGUCCGGAAUUAUUGGGCGUAAAGGGCUCGCAGGCGGUUUCUUAAGUCUGAUGUGAAAGCCCCCGGCUCAACCGGGGAGGGUCAUUGGAAACUGGGAAACUUGAGUGCAGAAGAGGAGAGUGGAAUUCCACGUGUAGCGGUGAAAUGCGUAGAGAUGUGGAGGAACACCAGUGGCGAAGGCGACUCUCUGGU
rnacentral:rRNA from 1 species